AGUGAACGCUGGCGGUAGGCCUAACACAUGCAAGUCGAACGGCAGCACAGGAGAGCUUGCUCUCUGGGUGGCGAGUGGCGGACGGGUGAGGAAUACAUCGGAAUCUACUCUGUCGUGGGGGAUAACGUAGGGAAACUUACGCUAAUACCGCAUACGACCUACGGGUGAAAGCAGGGGAUCUUCGGACCUUGCGCGAUUGAAUGAGCCGAUGUCGGAUUAGCUAGUUGGCGGGGUAAAGGCCCACCAAGGCGACGAUCCGUAGCUGGUCUGAGAGGAUGAUCAGCCACACUGGAACUGAGACGCGGUCCAGACUCCUACGGGAGGCAGCAGUGGGGAAUAUUGGACAAUGGGCGCAAGCCUGAUCCAGCCAUACCGCGUGGGUGAAGGAGGCCUUCGGGUUGUAAAGCCCUUUUGUUGGGAAAGAAAUCCAGCUGGCUAAUACCCGGUUGGGAUGACGGUACCCAAAGAAUAAGCACCGGCUAACUUCGUGCCAGCCGCCGCCGUAA
rnacentral:rRNA from 1 species